rnacentral:rRNA from 1 species
GACGAACGCUGGCGGCGUGCCUAAUACAUGCAAGUAGAACGCUGAAGGAGGAGCUUGCUUCUCUGGAUGAGUUGCGAACGGGUGAGUAACGCGUAGGUAACCUGCCUGGUAGCGGGGGAUAACUAUUGGAAACGAUAGCUAAUACCGCAUAAUAGUAGAUGUUGCAUGACAUUUGCUUAAAAGGUGCAAUUGCAUCACUACCAGCUGGACCUGCGUUGUAUUAGCUAGUUGGUGGGGUAACGGCUCACCAAGGCGACGAUACAUAGCCGACCUGAGAGGGUGAUCGGCCACACUGGGACUGAGACACGGCCCAGACUCCUACGGGAGGCAGCAGUAGGGAAUCUUCGGCAAUAGACGGAAGUCUGACCGAGCAACGCCGCGUGAGUGAAGAAGGUUUUCGGAUCGUAAAGCUCUGUUGUAAGAGAAGAACGAGUGUGAGAGUGGAAAGUUCACACUGUGACGGUAUCUUACCAGAAAGGGACGGCUAACUACGUG